rnacentral:tRNA from 1 species
GCUGGCAUAGGUCAGUGGAUACAGCAUGCAAUUCCUAAUUGCAAGGUCGAGGGUUCCAUUCCCUCUGCUGGCG